UGGGGAAUAUCGGGCAAUGGCCGAAAGGCUGACCCAGCGACGCCGCGUGCGGGAGGAAGCCCUUCGGGGUGUAAACCGCUGUCAGAGGGGACGAAUGAGAGAGGAGCGAAUAGCCCUUCUCUGUGACGGUACCCUCAAAGGAAGCACCGGCUAACUCUGUGCCAGCAGCCGCGGUAAUACAGAGGGUGCAAGCGUUGUUCGGAAUCACUGGGCGUAAAGCGCGCGCAGGCGGAUGGUUGCGUCCGGAGUGAAAUUUCGCCGCUCAACGGCGAAGCUGCUUUGGAUACGGACCGUCUAGGGACCGGUAGAGGCUGGUAGAAUUGCAGGUGUAGCGGUGGAAUGCGUAGAGAUCUGCAAGAAUACCCGUGGCGAAGGCGGCCAGCUGGGCCGGAUCCGACGCUGAGGCGCGAAAGCGUGGGGAGCAAACAG
rnacentral:rRNA from 1 species